GGCCUCGUAGCUCAACAGGAAGAGCACCCGCCUUGUAAGCGGGGGGUUGUGGGUUCAAAUCCCACCGGGGCCUCCA
rnacentral:tRNA from 1 species